CGAUGGUAUACAUUCAUUUUAACACAAUAAGUAUACCUAUAGCAGAGUGAGCCAAGGCUCCGUGUUGCAGACCGUACAUUGACCUAUAAUAGUUUACUUUUAUAAAAUACAACUUGGAAUGAGAGUUUUCUCAUUGGCACUCAUACCACAUCAUCUUAAAUCUAUUGCAUAUUUUGAAAAUCAUUCUGAAAAUUUUAACAAAUGCAAAUCGUACAAGUGCAGCUAAAAAUAUAUAAGAUAUUCAUUGUAAUAAACAUGCAUGUUUGUGUAUAAAUAUUUAGUAUUUAUAUCUGUUUCAGAACUUGGGUGUAACAUUCCAGCUGUUUGCCCCGUCACUCACAAGGGCCAAAUCAGAUGUACAGGCUGCGAACCUUCCGACA
rnacentral:lncRNA from 1 species